UACAGAGGGUGCAAGCGUUGUUCGGAAUUAUUGGGCGUAAAGGGCGCGUAGGCGGUGCGGUAAGUCUGUAGUGAAAUCUCUGGGCUCAACUCAGAGUCUGCUAUAGAAACUGCCGUGCUUGAGUGUGGGAGAGGUGAGUGGAAUUCCCGGUGUAGCGGUGAAAUGCGCAGAUAUCGGGAAGAACACCCGUGGCGAAGGCGACUCUCUGGGACGGUACUGACGCUGAGACGCGAAAGCGUGGGGAGCGAACGAGG
rnacentral:rRNA from 1 species